rnacentral:rRNA from 1 species
UCCCCGUCAAUUCAAUUGAAGUUUAACCUUGCGGUCGCAAUUCCCCAGGCGGGGUGCUUAAUGCGUUAGCUGCGGCACGGAGGGAGUGGAUAACCCCCCACACCUAGCACCCAUCGUUUACAGCGUGGACUACCAGGGUAUCUAAUCCUGUUUGCUCCCCACGCUUUCGCUCCUCAGCGUCAGAACAGGCCCAGAAGGCCGCCUUCGCCACGGGUGUUCCUCCUGAUAUCUGCGCAUUUCACCGCUACACCAGGAAUUCCACCUUCCCCUACCUGCCUCAAGUCCUCCAGUAUCGAGUGCGGUUUCAGGGUUGAGCCCUGAGAUUUCACACCCGACUUAAAGGACCGCCUACGARCUCUUUACGCCCAAUAAUUCCGGACAACGCUUGCCCCCUACGUAUUACCGCGGCUGCUGGCACGUAGUUGGCCGGGGCUUUUUYUGGAGGUACCGUCACUUUYGSUUYUUCCMUCSUGAAARCGGUUUACAACCCGAAGGCCUUYUUYCCGCACGSGGSGUYGGUGCGUCAGGCUUUYGCCCAWUGCGCAAGAUUYCCUAMUGCUGCCUCCCGUAGGAGUUUGGGCCGUGUYUCAGUCCCAGUGUGGCUGGUYGCGCUCUCAMGCCAGCUACCCGUUGUYGCCUUGGUGAGCCAUUACCUCACCAACAAGCUGAUAGGCCGCGAGGCCAUCCUGUAGCGGCAGACCAUUUCCUCGAACUCCCAUGUGGGGGCUCGAGAGUAUCCGGCAUUAGNCACAGUUUCCCGUGGUUAUUCCGGUNNACAGGGCAGGUUCCUCACGUGUUACUCACCCGUUNGCCGGUCUCCCCAAACCCGAAGGUUUGGUUCUCCCUCGACUUGCAUGUAUUAGGCGCGCCGCCAGCGUUCGUCCUGAGCCAUAAUCAAACUCU